CGAAGAGUACAGGGGAGCCGAUGUGGCUGAGAUGGGCGUUUGCCCGGACCCUUAUGACCUGAACAGGGUAGUGCCUGCGUAGGGAUGUUACGAACGGUGCGCG
rfam:Bifidobacterium pseudocatenulatum contig_00020_129543, whole genome shotgun sequence.